ensembl:lncRNA
GGACAUGACUGAGUGACUUCACUUUUGGUCUGUUUCUUAGAGAAAUGUACCACAAUGUCACAUGUCUUAUUCAUUGCUUUACAGGUUUCACAGUCAUGUUUAGAAGUCCAGGAAACUUUGCUCCUGUGAUAUAUUCCGUAUGCUACAACAUUCCCAGUGGAACCGAACAACUAAAAAGAACACCCAUGUGCUUGGAG